CACGUAGGGCGCAAGCGUUGUCCGGAAUUAUUGGGCGUAAAGAGCUCGUAGGCGGCUUGUCGCGUCUGCCGUGAAAGUCCGGGGCUCAACUCCGGAUCUGCGGUGGGUACGGGCAGACUAGAGUGAUGUAGGGGAGACUGGAAUUCCUGGUGUAGCGGUGAAAUGCGCAGAUAUCAGGAGGAACACCGAUGGCGAAGGCAGGUCUCUGGGCAUUAACUGACGCUGAGGAGCGAAAGCAUGGGGAGCGAACAGG
rnacentral:rRNA from 1 species